rnacentral:rRNA from 1 species
GAUGAACGCUGGCGGCGUGCCUAAUACAUGCAAGUCGAGCGAACAGACGAGGAGCUUGCUCCUCUGACGUUAGCGGCGGACGGGUGAGUAACACGUGGAUAACCUACCUAUAAGACUGGGAUAACUUCGGGAAACCGGAGCUAAUACCGGAUAAUAUAUUGAACCGCAUGGUUCAAUAGUGAAAGACGGUUUUGGUGUCACUUAUAGAUGGAUCUGCGCCGCAUUAGCUAGUUGGUAAGGUAACGGCUUUUCAAGGCAACGAUGCGUAUCCGACCGGAGAGAGUGAUCGGCCACACGGGAACUGAGACGCGGACCAUGCGCCUACGGGAGGCAGCAGUAGGGAAUCUUCCGCAAUGGGCGAAAGCCUGACGGAGCAACGCCGCGUGAGUGAUGAAGGUCUUCGGAUCGUAAAACUCUGUUAUUAGGGAAGAACAAAUGUGUAAGUAACUAUGCACGUCUUGACGGUACCUAAUCAGAAAGCCACGGCUAACUACGUG